rnacentral:rRNA from 1 species
CCUACGGGAGGCAGCAGUGAGGAAUAUUGGUCAAUGGACGAGAGUCUGAACCAGCCAAGUAGCGUGAAGGAUGACUGCCCUAUGGGUUGUAAACUUCUUUUAUAAAGGAAUAAAACGAGGCACGUGUGCCUUUUUGCAUGUACUUUAUGAAUACGGAUCGGCUAACUCCGUGCCAGCAGCCGCGGUAAUACGGAGGAUCCGAGCGUUAUCCGGAUUUAUUGGGUUUAAAGGGUGCGUAGAUGGGUUGUUAAGUCAGUUGUUAAAUUUUGCGGCUCAACCGUAAAAUUGCAAUUGAUACUGGCAGUCUAGAGUACAGUUGAGGUAGGCGGAAUUCGUGGUGUAGCGGUGAAAUGCUUAGAUAUCACGAAGAACCCCGAUUGCGAAGGCAGCCUACUAAACUGUGACUGACAUUGAUGCUCGAAAGUGUGGGUAUCAAACAGGAUUAGAUACCCGGGUAGUG